UUCUACUCUGGGGCUUAGGAAGCAAUAUGGAAGAAAAAACUUUUUUUUUUCUGUUUCUUCCGUUUUUCUGGAUAGAAGCUCUUUCUAAGUAUUUUAAAACCAACCAUGCAAGAAUUAUACCAUGGAACUAAGCUGCAGUUUCAAAUAAAGGUGAUGAACUGCGUUUCUGGAGACGUGAAGGAACCCGCUGUCUAUGCUUUAAAGGGGGCUUGACCGUGGGAUCUUUGUUGCAGUCGGAGAUUCAGCCUUUACAUCUAGAUCGGGGGUCAAAUGUUUCUUAUAAGAAAAAAAAUUCAGAUUAAGAAGAAGGAUCACAAGGGAUGGCAAUAAUCAAGAAAUGAAUAGAAGAUGGUUUAUGACUUAUGUUGUAGAGAAGAAUGACUGAAAUGACUGUUUGGAAUUAUUCUGGAAUUAGGCUAGAAUGAGGUCUUCUCUGCCAAUCUAAGGGCCUCAUUCCACAAACAAAUGUGGGAGAAACUUUACUUGAAUAGUUCACUUGAGAUCAACUGGGACUAGUCACGAAAAAUGAAGUUUAGAACUGACUCUUGACACGUGAUGCACAUUUGGCAGGAGGCCAAGGCGAAUCAGAAUAAACAACCCGAAGACAAUGCCAAAUUCAGGAAAAUAAAAGUAGCUUAAUAUGAUUUAAUACCAAUAAAGUGGUUAAGAUGAAGUUUCUUAAACUCUUUUAUGGAGGCUGGUUAACAAUGACAUGGAUUUUUGAGGAACAAUUCCAGAGCUUUGACUGAAUGAAAUAUUCUGAAACCAAAAGAAAAGCUUGGUCUUGAUUAUCUAUAUUACAGAUUAGCUUGAAGGAAAUAAUUAUUACCAAUCUGUACCAUAACGGCUGUACUUAACUGCAAUGUAACAUUUAAGGUCUGUGGAGCAGGGGAUGUCUUUUUGUUCUGGGCCUGUACAGCAUGCAGCACAAUGAGGUUCUACUCCAUGAUUGGGGAUCCUAGAUGCUCCCAUAAAAUAAACAAUAAUACAGUAAUAAUAAUAUUUAUCUUAUUCUAUUUGGAUUGUUGCUUUAAUUUUAUUUUUGAUGAUUUAUCAUUAGCUCUUGGAGCUAAACUGUGAAAGGCUCAUAUAUCAGGUGUGCCACUCCCAAUGCAGAUAUAGUCCUAAGGCCUGACUCUCAUCUUGUAGAAAUAUAAGGCCCCAGUUUGGUAGUCAGAUAUGUGUGAACAGUACCUGGGGACUGUGCAGAGCCCACUGACUUCAGUGGAGGUCCAGACAGGCAUAAAAGUCAGCCCACACAGAUCUGAUUGCAGGGAAGCAGCCUUCAAACAGAAGUGACUCUGCUGAAGUCAGAUGGAGUUAGACCUAGGUAAAACAGUGAUGUAAGCAAAAGGGGAAUAGGACCCAUAACACACACGCAUGUGCACAUUCAGUCAAAGAAAUAAAACACCUGCAUGUGUAACCCACACACCUUCUGGGUGUGGUGUUCUGUCCCAUCUAAUGGCACUGAGAACACUUAAAGAGAGAGGUAAAAUGAGUCUUCUCUACAGCCUUAGCUAAGAGCCAGUUGUCUUUUAGCUCAUGUGGUAGAGGCUCAUGCACUAAGCUCCAGAGAUCCACGGUUCAAUCCUGCCCACCGAUGACAAGGGUCUGUUGGCAUUACACAUGCAUAUGAUACUGAGAGAUGCGUAAUGGGUGGAGGACAUUUUGUGUCAUUUUAAAUAUGGCCAUUUUAAUCAGUCCAGUUGUUUACCGACAUCUCUUAGGUGUAAUGAACAAAUAGAUAUCAAGGAAAUUGAAGUUGGUUCAUUAGAAACCUUUUCAUUUUUUAUAAUUUUAAAAUUACAAUCAACAGGAAAAACAUACCAGAUUCAUUGCUGAUAGGUGAAGUGUGACUUUUCCAAUAUUUUAAGAUUAUAUUUUAUUAGUUCAAGAAAAAUAUGGUUAUAGAAAAUAUAUAUUUACCACUCCUUAAAAGAUUUUGCAGAAUUUUCUGUCUUCUCUCUGUUUCUUUCACAUUAUAUUUUACCUUUUCUGAUAUUUAUACUUUUUGUUUCACAUGUUCAGCAAUCACAAUAUAUCUCUUAUACUCAUGGUUUUCAAUCAAAAUAUAUUUAAAAUUGUAUUUAAUAAAUACCUUUAAAAUAGUGUCAAUAGAAUUUUAUUUUUGUUGAUAUUUCUGCCUUCACUAUAUGUUGAAAUGUAAUUGGUUUGUUAGGGAUCAAUCCUACAUUCCUAAUUCAAGAUAAAACUUCCAUUGAAAUCAAUGAGAAGUCAAUUGUCUCGAUAUGGAUUUCAAGGUUGAGCCUUUAGCUUAGUUUUAUGAGUGUAACAGAGCCUUAAAUAAUUUUUCUUACCAUUGUCUGUCUGAACAUUUUUUCCACCAGUCUAGUUUAACUGGUGGUGUAAUUAAUAUGUAUAAUUCCAAAUUUUGUAAUAAAAUAAAGUGCAUACAUUAAGACA